UUUCCGUAGUGAACCUGCGGAAGGAUCAUUAAUAAAUUUUUUAGGUUGAAAUUUGAAACCUAAAAAUAUAAUAAUCCUACCUUUGUGAAUUUGUUGUUUGAAAUAAUUUUUUAAAAAAUUAUUUAUAGUUUUGUCUAUCCUGAGUUGUAAGAGAAGUAAUUCUUGAAGACUUAGGGAAUAGGCAUUAUCUAUAAAUAAUGAUUUUAAAGACCUUUUUUUAAAUUAAACUUUGUAUUCAUUUUCUAAAAUUUAUUUUUAAUAAUUUAAAAACAACUUUGACAAUGGAUCUCUUGUUCUCGCAACGAUGAAGAACGCAGCAAAAUGCGAUAAGUAAUGUGAAUGCAGAAUACGUGAAUCAUCAAAUCUUCGAACGCAUAUUGCACUUUUUAGUUUACUAAAAAGUAUGUCUGUUUGAGUAUCAGUAAAUAUUCUCAUAAAAAUUUAUUUUUUUUAUGGUUUGAGUGUUUACAACGAUACAAGUUGUUUCACUUUAAAUUGACUUUAAAUUGCCUAUUAAUUUAGUCAAUUUUAAAUUGCAUAAAAUUUCCCGUAAAAGGAAUAACCUAUCAAUUUAAAAUUAACUGAUAUUAAAAGGCUUGAUAAAAGGAAAUUUAAUUAAAUAACUUGAUCUCAAAUCAGAUAAGAGUACCGCUGAACUUAAGCAUAUCAAUAAGCGGAGGAAAAGAAACUAACAAGGAUUCCCUAGUAACGGGAGUGAAGCGGAAGAGCUCAAAUUUGAAAUCUUCAAGGUUGACCUUGACGAAUUGUAGUUUAAAGAAGUGUUUUCGGUUAGAGGAGUGGUAAAAGUUCUUUGGAUAGACAUCAUAGAGGGUGAGAAUCCGUAUUUGACCAUUCUUUCUAGCUUUGUGAUACACUUUCAAAGAGUCGGAUUGUUUGGGAAUGCAGUCCAAAAUGGUGGUAAAUUUCAUCUAAAGCUAAAUAUUGGCGAGAGACCGAUAGCGAACAAGUACGUGAGGGAAAGAUGAAAGAACUUUGAAAAGAGAUUAAACAGUACGUGAAAUUGUCAAAAGGAAGCGUUUGACACCAGUGUUGUUUUUCCGAAAAUCAAUUAAAAUAAAUUCAUGCAGGUUGUAUUGACUUAUCAGCUUGCAAUUUGGUUUGGGUUUCUUUUGAUGCACUUUUCGGUUAACAAGUCAACAUCAAUUUCCUUUGCUGUAAAGGCAGGAGAAGGUGGCUUCAAUUUCGGUUGAAGUGUUUAUAGCUUCUGUCUCUGCAGUCGGGAGAUUGAGGUCUGCAGCGUAGAUCUUCGGGUUGAUACAUUCGUGCUAAGUUAUAGCCUUUUAUAGACAACUUGUUGACUAUGAUCGUCAUGUAAUUACUCGCGAGUGCUAUUU
rnacentral:misc_RNA from 1 species